rnacentral:rRNA from 1 species
AUUGAACGCUGGCGGCAGGCCUAACACAUGCAAGUCGAGCGGAUGAGUGGAGCUUGCUCCAUGAUUCAGCGGCGGACGGGUGAGUAAUGCCUAGGAAUCUGCCUGGUAGUGGGGGACAACGUUUCGAAAGGAACGCUAAUACCGCAUACGUCCUACGGGAGAAAGCAGGGGACCUUCGGGCCUUGCGCUAUCAGAUGAGCCUAGGUCGGAUUAGCUAGUAGGUGAGGUAAUGGCUCACCUAGGCGACGAUCCGUAACUGGUCUGAGAGGAUGAUCAGUCACACUGGAACUGAGACACGGUCCAGACUCCUACGGGAGGCAGCAGUGGGGAAUAUUGGACAAUGGGCGCAAGCCUGAUCCAGCAAUGCCGCGUGCAGGAUGAAGGCCUUC